rnacentral:rRNA from 1 species
AUGGCCGUCGAGAAAAUGCAGUUUGCCAUGCCGAUGGCCACCGGCUUCGAGGGAUUUCCCUACAUCCCGUUCCAGGCGGAGAAGGAGCAGGCGCAGGCGUUCGGCAGGGCCAUGGCGGAGCCGGAGCCGGAGGAGGUGGCGCUCGUCAUGGUCAGGACGAAGCCAGAGGCGGCGAUCCGCAAGGCCAAGUCCAAGGUGGACAAGGAGAAGGCGUCCCUGAAGGCCAAGGCCAAGGCAGAGAAGGAGGCGGAGGAGGAAGCGGCGAUCCUCAAGGCCAAGGCGGAGGCAGAGAAGGAGGAAGCGAUCAAGGCCAAGGCGAAGGCGGCGAAGGAGGAGAGGAUCAUCAAGGCCAACUGCUGCUGCGGCUCGGACGAGGACGAUGUGCCGUACGACAAGCUGUGCCACGACUCCGACCCGGAUAUAAUCAUGUCCAGGAUUGUAGAGCGGUGGGACCUCUUUAUCGAGGAGGAGAAGGUUCGCUUCCCUGGCCUCAAGUUCGGGGACUCCUGCGAAAGGGAAUACACCGGGGACUCCUACCAAAGGGAAUACACCGGCGAUGAUCAGGAAGAUUCAGAUGACGAGCAGUACUACCACCGCUUGCUGGAUGAGGGCAUUCUGGUUUGA